rnacentral:rRNA from 1 species
AGGCCCGAACGGUUUUAGGUUGAAAACUGAUCCGAUGAGCUGUGGUUAGGAGUAAAAGGCUAAUCAAACUCGCAAAUAUCUGGUUCUCCUCGAAAUAGUUUUUGGACUAGCCUCGUGUAAAUUAGUCAAUGGGGGUAGAGAUACUGAAUGGGUUUAGGGGGCUUCCCGCCUACCUUACCCAACCAAACUCCGAAUACCAUUGACCGUACCACGGGAGUCAGACCCUGGGGGACAAUCUUCAGGGUCGAAAGGGAAACAGCCCACAUCGCCAGUUAAGGUCCCAAAGCUAACCUAAGUCAUAAAGGAAGUGGAGAUGCUAUAACAGCUAGGAUGUUGGCUUAGAAGCAGCCAUCAUUUAAAAAGUGCGUAAUAGCUUACUAGUCGAGCAUCUCUGCGUCGAAAAUUAGCGGGAGUUAAGGUUAGCACCGAGACUGCGGGGCAAGUCGUUUAGUUCGAUUUGUCGGUAGGGGAGCGUUCCACUGUAGGUUGAAGGAGUACCGUAAGGAGCUCUGGACGAAGUGGAAGUGAUUAUGCCGGAAUGAGUAGCGAUAAAAUGAGUGAGAAUCUCAUUCGCCGAAAGCCUAAGGUUUCCUGGGGAAGGCAAUUCCGCCCAGGGUUAGCCGGUACCUAAGUCGAGGCCGAAGGGCGUAGACGAUGGAAAACAUGUUAAUAUUCAUGUGCCACCACACUGUCCCGAUGGGGGGACGUUGGAUGAAGGACUAGCGGACUGACAGAAGUCCGUUGGGUGGAACGUAAUGGGUCGUGGAUAGGUAAAUCCGCCACGAACAGCCCUGGUUUUGCUCCAAGCUUCGGCGGAUGUCGUCUGAAUUCCAACCAAGAAAAGCCUCUAAGGAAUGGCAUUGUGGUGACCGUACUAAAACUGACACAGGUAGGUGGGGCGAGAAGCCUCAGGCGCUCGGGAGAACUCUGGUUAAGGAACUCGGCAAAUUGGCCCCGUAACUUCGGGAUAAGGGGUGCCUUCAUUUAUGAAGGCCGCAGUGAAAAGGGGGUAGCGACUGUUUACUAAAAACAUAGGUCUAUGCUAACACGUAAGUGGAAAUAUAUGGACUGACACCUGCCCGGUGCUGGAAGGUUAAAGGGAGGAGUUAGGUUCUUCGGAACCGAAGCUUUGAUCUGAAGCCCCAGUAAACGGCGGCCGUAACUAUAACGGUCCUAAGGUAGCGAAAUUCCUUGUCGGGUAAGUUCCGACCUGCACGAAUGGUGUAACGACUUCCCCACUGUCUCGACCAGAAACUCAGCGAAAUUGUAAUGUCGGUGAAGAUACCGGCUAACCAUAGAAGGACGGAAAGACCCCGUGAACCUUUACUAUAGCUUGAUAUUGGCUUUUGAUUCUGUAUGUGUAGGAUAGGUGGGAGACUUUGAAGCCCUGAUGCUAAUCAGGGUGGAGUCAUCCUUGAAAUACCACCCUUGCAUCAUUGAAAGUCUAACCGUGAUCCGUUAUCCGGAUUCGGGACAGUGUCUGGU